UUUAUGGAGAGUUUGAUCCUGGCUCAGAGUGAACGCUGGCGGCGUGCCUAAUACAUGCAAGUCGAACGAUGAAGCUUCUAGCUUGCUAGAAUGCUGAUUAGUGGCGCACGGGUGAGUAACGCAUAGGUCAUGUGCCUCUUAGUUUGGGAUAGCCAUUGGAAACGAUGAUUAAUACCAGAUACUCCCUACGGGGGAAAGAUUUAUCGCUAAGAGAUCAGCCUAUGUCCUAUCAGCUUGUUGGUAAGGUAAUGGCUUACCAAGGCUAUGACGGGUAUCCGGCCUGAGAGGGUGAACGGACACACUGGAACUGAGACACGGUCCAGACUCCUACGGGAGGCAGCAGUAGGGAAUAUUGCUCAAUGGGGGAAACCCUGAAGCAGCAACGCCGCGUGGAGGAUGAAGGUUUUAGGAUUGUAAACUCCUUUUGUUAGAGAAGAUAAUGACGGUAUCUAACGAAUAAGCACCGGCUAACUCCGUGCCAGCAGCCGCGGUAAUACGGAGGGUGCAAGCGUUACUCGGAAUCACUGGGCGUAAAGAGCGCGUAGGCGGGAUAGUCAGUCAGGUGUGAAAUCCUAUGGCUUAACCAUAGAACUGCAUUUGAAACUACUAUUCUAGAGUGUGGGAGAGGUAGGUGGAAUUCUUGGUGUAGGGGUAAAAUCCGUAGAGAUCAAGAGGAAUACUCAUUGCGAAGGCGACCUGCUGGAACAUUACUGACGCUGAUUGCGCGAAAGCGUGGGGAGCAAACAGGAUUAGAUACCCUGGUAGUCCACGCCCUAAACGAUGGAUGCUAGUUGUUGGAGGGCUUAGUCUCUCCAGUAAUGCAGCUAACGCAUUAAGCAUCCCGCCUGGGGAGUACGGUCGCAAGAUUAAAACUCAAAGGAAUAGACGGGGACCCGCACAAGCGGUGGAGCAUGUGGUUUAAUUCGAGGAUACACGAAGAACCUUACCUAGGCUUGACAUUGAGAGAAUCCGCUAGAAAUAGUGGAGUGUCUAGCUUGCUAGACCUUGAAAACAGGUGCUGCACGGCUGUCGUCAGCUCGUGUCGUGAGAUGUUGGGUUAAGUCCCGCAACGAGCGCAACCCCCUUUCUUAGUUGCUAACAGGUCAUGCUGAGAACUCUAAGGAUACUGCCUCCGUAAGGAGGAGGAAGGUGGGGACGACGUCAAGUCAUCAUGGCCCUUACGCCUAGGGCUACACACGUGCUACAAUGGGGUGCACAAAGAGAAGCAAUACUGCGAAGUGGAGCCAAUCUUCAAAACGCCUCUCAGUUCGGAUUGUAGGCUGCAACUCGCCUGCAUGAAGCUGGAAUCGCUAGUAAUCGCAAAUCAGCCAUGUUGCGGUGAAUACGUUCCCGGGUCUUGUACUCACCGCCCGUCACACCAUGGGAGUUGUGUUUGCCUUAAGUCAGGAUGCUAAAUUGGCUACUGCCCACGGCACACACAGCGACUGGGGUGAAGUCGUAACAAGGUAACCGUAGGUGAACCUGCGGUUGGAUCACCUCCUUUCUAGA
rnacentral:rRNA from 1 species